UACAGAGGGUGCGAGCGUUGUCCGGAAUUACUGGGCGUAAAGGGCUCGUAGGCGGCCAACUAAGUCGGAUGUGAAAUCCCCAGGCUUAACCUGGGAACUGCAUCCGAUACUGGAUGGCUUGAAUCCGGGAGAGGGAUGCGGAAUUCCAGGUGUAGCGGUGAAAUGCGUAGAUAUCUGGAGGAACACCGGUGGCGAAGGCGGCAUCCUGGACCGGCAUUGACGCUGAGGAGCGAAAGCCAGGGGAGCAAACGGG
rnacentral:rRNA from 1 species